UACGGAGGAUCCAAGCGUUAUCCGGAAUCAUUGGGUUUAAAGGGUCCGUAGGCGGUUUUGUAAGUCAGUGGUGAAAGCCCAUCGCUCAACGGUGGAACGGCCAUUGAUACUGCAAGACUUGAAUUACUAGGAAGUAACUAGAAUAUGUAGUGUAGCGGUGAAAUGCUUAGAUAUUACAUGGAAUACCAAUUGCGAAGGCAGGUUACUACUAGUGGAUUGACGCUGAGGCACGAAAGCGUGGGGAUCAAACAGG
rnacentral:rRNA from 1 species